ACCGCUGUAGUUCAAUGGUAGAAUGGGCGCUUCCCAUCCGUAUGACGGUGUGUUUGCGCUCGGCAGGUGUUCGAUUCCCCUCGGCGGUA